rnacentral:rRNA from 1 species
ACGCUCGACACCUACGGGGGCAGCAGUGGGGAAUAUUGCACAAUGGGGGAAACCCUGAUGCAGCGACGCCGCGUGGAGGAAGAAGGUCUUCGGAUUGUAAACUCCUGUUGUUGGGGAAAAAGAGGAUGGUACCCAACAAGGAAGUGACGGCUAACUACGUGCCAGAGCCGCGGUAAUCUGAGCGGGCGUGGCGAAGGC